rnacentral:rRNA from 1 species
CGGGCCUCUCGCGUCAGGAUAUGCCCAGGUGGGAUUAGCUAGUUGGUGAGGUAAGGGCUCACCAAGGCGACGAUCCCUAGCUGGUCUGAGAGGAUGAUCAGCCACACUGGAACUGAGACACGGUCCAGACUCCUACGGGAGGCAGCAGUGGGGAAUAUUGCACAAUGGGCGCAAGCCUGAUGCAGCCAUGCCGCGUGUGUGAAGAAGGCCUUCGGGUUGUAAAGCACUUUCAGUCGUGAGGAAGGUG